AUACGGAGGGUGCAAGCGUUAUUCGGAAUCACUGGGCGUAAAGGGUGCGUAGGCGGUUUGAUAAGUCUGAUGUGAAAUCCUAUGGCUCAACCAUAGAACUGCACUGGAAACUGUCAGACUAGAAUACUGAAGGGGCAGAUGGAAUUAGUGGUGUAGGGGUAAAAUCCGUAGAUAUCACUAGGAAUACCGAAAGCGAAAGCGAUCUGCUGGGAAGUUAUUGACGCUGAGGCACGAAAGCGUGGGGAGCAAACGGGAUUAGAAACCCUAGUAGUCC
rnacentral:rRNA from 1 species